CGUAGGGGGCUAGCGUUAUCCGGAAUUACUGGGCGUAAAGGGUGCGUAGGUGGUUUCUUAAGUCAGAGGUGAAAGGCUACGGCUCAACCGUAGUAAGCCUUUGAAACUGGGAAACUUGAGUGCAGGAGAGGAGAGUGGAAUUCCUAGUGUAGCGGUGAAAUGCGUAGAUAUUAGGAGGAACACCAGUUGCGAAGGCGGCUCUCUGGACUGUAACUGACACUGAGGCACGAAAGCGUGGGGAGCAAACAGGAUUAGAUACCCUGGUAGUCCCUGA
rnacentral:rRNA from 1 species